ensembl:snRNA U6 U6 spliceosomal RNA
AUGCUAACUUUGGCAGCAUAUAUAGUAAAACUGGAUUGACAGAGAAGAUUAACACGGCCCCUUGCAAAAGAAUGACAUGAAAAUUACCCAAAAGUGGCAGGUGGUG